rnacentral:tRNA from 1 species
GGCGCAGUAGUUCAGCUGGUUAGAAUGCCAGCCUGUCACGCUGGAGGUCGAGGGUUCGAGUCCCUUCUGCGUCGCCA